GGCCAAAUGCGGCCCGAUAUCCAUUUUUAAUUGGCCCGCAGCGUGCAGAAAUCCCUCCCCCCUCUCAGCAUCCAUAAAAAAAAAGUUUCCUACCACGGCGUCAUUGAGGGGCGGAACCUACAGUGCUUCACAGAAGCUACAGAAGCUUGUCCUAAACUCCGCCCUCCCCUCCCCGUGACUGGAGUUUAGUGUAGUGCGGGGAGGGAGGGGGAGCCAGUAAACAAACUGAAAGCAUGGCUCCAACUGCUGCCUAACCUGGCCUGGAGUUCCUGCUUGUUCUCAUGAACUAUAAAAUGGAUACUUAUUGACUAAUAUUAUGAAUGUGAAAUUCUCUACUUAAGGGUUACUGUAAUAAACUGCUGUUAUUAUUUUCUGAAGAGCUUGAACUGGGUGACGGUGUUUGAGGAAUCCCACUGGAUGUUCGGUGCAUCUAGAAUGUCAUGUUCUUGGGCCAUUAAUUUUUGGAGGAAUUUUUGCUUCCUGUAGGAAUUGAAGGCCGUCUUGUGGGUCAUCUUCUGAUGCUUCAUAGAACUUUCGAAAAAGUUCAGUCAAUAUGUUUCUAAAAUGUUGUGGAUCAUGUGUCCAUCCGUCUUUUGUUUUAAUCUUAUGUAUGUAAGUGUUGCAUGUUUGUCUUUUAGCUAACUGUGCCAAUAAUUUCCCUGAUUUGUUACCGUAUCUGUAAAAUUUGUUUGUUGUAUUACUCAUUGCCAUAUGUACUUUUUCUGUUAAUAAAGUGUCAAAGAGUAUCUUUGCUCCUUUAUAUUUA